UUAAUUUAGGAGAGCAGCCGACAAACAAAGAAUUAGAGCUGAUAAUUCUAGUAGCUAACCUGGACGAAAAUGGUCAAGUUAAUUAUGAGGAAUUUAUGAGAAUGAUGCUAGCAGUUUGAGCAAACAUUAUCUCCAGCCUGCCUACUUAUUAGAGUAUUGAUAACUA